rnacentral:lncRNA from 1 species
AAACAGAGGAAGUUUUCGCAUUCUGAUUGCAGCCUGAGUUCCCCGGAGCAAGGCUGCUUCUCUCCACCCACUCCUCACCAAGAACUCCUGAACUUGAGGGUGGACGACUUCAAAGCUAGCUCCCACAGACUCACCUGGAAAAGAGUUCAGCUGCGCGUUCAUUGAACCGAGAGGCCAGAUCACCUAUGUGAGGCGGUGGGAACCAUAUGGAGAUUUAUAUUAGAACUUCAGCAAAGUGCACAGCUGCAGCCGGCAGAAGCCAGCUCUCGGGCUGACAGGCAAAUGAACCAGAUCGUGGACGGGGCCUCUGGGUGGCAGCUCCGGCCUUUUGGUUGUUGGACAACUAUAGUCAGAACUGAAAUGGAACAGGGGCAGGAGAAAUAACACACUUUUACUCCACGCAACUGUUGCUUUCACAUGAUCUUCAGGAAUGUAACUGGGAUAAUUGUCCAAAUCGAAUCCCAUGCCCUGUCAUGCACACCAGAAUAGGAGUCCUGUCUUAACUGAGCAAUAUACACUAUGGAGAGAUCCUUCAAAACCCGUCGGGAUGAAUAACAGAUGAAUUCAUAAACUGUUCAUCUCUGUUAUCCUGAAUGGUCACUCAGACAACAUUUUACUCAACUAUAAAGGGGAACACUUAAAGUGCAUAUGAGAAGAGAAGAGAAUGACCACAGGAGAAAAUCAUCUCAGGUAAAACGAAAAGGCACAAAUGUAGAGUGUAAUUAAUCUUAGAAUAUUAAAGAGAAAAUGAUUAUGUCUGUGUUUGGUAUAAGAAAUGGUCCUUCCCUUUAUGAAGCUACUUAUUUGGGAUUUUCACUGAUGGUUUUCCUUCAAGAGUUUACAGUAUUACUUGCCUUUGUCAACCUUUUGUUUGGUUUUGUGAUCAAUGCCCAGUGUCCAUCAUUCUGAGGACAUAUGUGUAUGUUGAUUUAUACAAUUCAGGUACAAGAUGGUUGAAUAGGAAGCUAUUUAAUGAAAAGGAAAAUAUGUUCUCAGUGGUUAUACAUUAUAAAAGGAAGUAAAAAUCUGAUAGAAAAGAAUAAGCUCAUAGUUUAUUUUUAAUCUUUUCCAUAUAUCUAGUAAGACAAUAAUGUCAAAGUAUAUUUUGUAGUAAUAAAAGCUACAGCCAGUGUUUCCUCUUUCUUUUUUUUAAACAUGAAAUGUAUAAAUAUAUAAGGAAAUACUUUUACUACAAUUGGAUGCAUGAUUGUUGAUUAUUUACUACAGUUUUAAUAAGUAGCAGAAUGAUUUGAAAAUAAAUAAUGGUGAAAAUUUGUGUAGGCCAAAUUAUCUGUAUUAAACUGGAGAAAAUACAUUCUAUUUUUAUUUAUUUCAAAACAUGCCAAAUCAUGAAGUAAUUACUAUGCAGUAUUAUUUUUCACAAUGAAGAUAUAAUUAAGAAAAGCUAAAUCAUUUUAGAUAUGAGUGCAAUGAUUAACGAUUGUACAACUUAUAAUUUUGCUUCAGAUGAGCUUAGAAUCCUAAAAAUGUACAUGUAACUGGCUUCAUGUGUGCUCACUGGCUUGCUUUCUUACAGUGUCGUAGCUGACAGAAUUAAGAAUCAUUUAUUUCAUUUCAACCUGUUGAACAGAGGAAUUAUAUCUAACUGUAUAUUUUGUUGAAAGGAUAUAGUUCUUGGGAAAUAGAUUUAAAUGUGUUUUGUUGAAAGGGAAUGUAUGCUCCUUGGUGUGAUAUAAGCGACUACAAAUAUUCCAGAAUAGCAGGAAUAACACCGAUCAUGUCAUUGAUUUUAGGGUUUUUUGAUACCAUAUCUUUUCCUCACUGCUGUAAAAGUUUAAUUUCAUCCCCACUGUAGGCACAUGUCUGUACAUCUAGAAUUUGUGGGUUUUGUGUUCUUUACCUAGUCAUCAAGACCUCAUUUGUUUAUUAAAAGCUAUAAUGUGACUAAAUCUCAAAAAUCAUUAACUGAGUUUUAUGUGAAUAAAUACAAUCACUCUAGUGCAUAUACAGUUUAAUAACUUCCUUUUAAUUGAAGACUUAUCAUACUAUAUCUGUGCCUCACAACAAUAUAAUUUGUAUGUACAUAUAUUAGGUUCUCAAUUAGGACAUUUUAACAAAGUUAAAAUAUUCACAGUUUAAAACAAAAGCAAUCUUUAAAAAAGAAAAAAUCAAGAAGAAAAGAGAGAAGUAAGAAAAGAAGAAAGGGAGGA